rnacentral:rRNA from 1 species
GGAUUAGAUACCCUGGUAGUCCACGCCGUAAACGAUGUAUGCUUGGUGUUAGAACAAAUUGUUGUUCUAGUGCCGGAGAUAAUUCGUUAAGCAUACCACCUGGGAAGUACGAUCGCAAGGUUGAAACUCAAAGGAAUUGACGGGGGCCCGCACAAGCGGUGGAUUAUGUGGUUUAAUUCGAUGCAACGCGAAGAACCUUACCCAGGCUUGAAGUGUAACGGACUGCUUCUGAAAGGAAGCUUCCCUUCGGGGUCGUUACAGAGGUGCUGCAUGGCUGUCGUCAGCUCGUGCCG